UAGCAUUUAGUCUUAUAUACUGCUCCACAGCGUUUCACAGUCCUCUCAAAUUGAUUUUACAGAGUCAGCAUAUUGCCCCCAGCAAUCUGGGACCUCAUUUUACUAACCUUGGAAGGAUGGAAGGCUGAGUCAACCUUGAGCCAGAAGGAUCGAGGGAAUGGAACGACUGGCAAUGUGAGCAGACUUAGCCUCCAAUACUGCAUUCUAAUCACUGCGCCACCA